rnacentral:lncRNA from 1 species
GAAGGUGUAGUUAUAUUUAAUACUUUUGUUAUAACUUUUAUACUAGAGUUAAAAUUGAUUUAUAUGCCACCAUUAAAGUGAUAAUAUAUUCUGGUUUUUACUAUAAACUUACCUUUACCAAUGAGUUUUAUGCUUUCAUGUUACUAAUUAGCAACUUUUCAUUUCAGAUGGAAAAACAUCUUUUGUUUGUCUGGGGAAGAAUUUAUCUCUCCUCAUUUCUGAGCAACAGCUUUUCUGGGUAAAGUAUUACUGGUUUCAGAUUUUUUUACAGCAUGUUGAAUAUAUUGUCACACUCUUCCCUGGACUGCAAGGUUUCUGGUGAGAAAUCCACAACUAUCCCUAUGCAGGUUUCUUUCUAUGAGAUGUUCUCCUUUCUCCUGUUGCCUUCAGAAUUCUCCUUUUGUCUUUGAUUUUUGAUAGUUUGACUAUAAUAUGUCUGAGUGAAGUCCUCUUUGGGCCAAACCUGUUUGGGACUUUUAAGUUUUGCAUACCUGGAUGCCCAUAGUUCUUUCCCUAAUGGUAGAUUUUCAGCCAUUGUUCCUUUUGAAAAACUUUCUUUCCCUUUCUCUCUCUCUUCCCCUUCUGAGAUUUCCACAAUGUGUAUAUUACUUUUUUAAGGAAGACCCCACAAUCUCAUAGGCUUUCUUCAUGUCUUUAUUCUUUUUUUUCUUUUUUAUUAUUUGACUGUAAAAUUUGAAAUGACCUAUCAUCAAGUUCACAGAUUUUUUUUGUCUGCUUGUUUAAUACAGUUGAUGAUUUUCAUUGAAUUUUUCAUUUUAUUCAUUGAAUUCUUCAACUCCAGAAUUUAUGUUUAUGUUUUAAAUAAUUUCCAACUCUUUAUUUCCUCAGCCAUAUUGAGGUACAAUGGACAAGUAAAAUUGCAAAUAUUUAAGGUGUACAACAUGACGACUUGUUAUAUUUUUAUAUUGUGAAAAUAUUACCACUAUGAAAUUAACAUAUCCAUCACCUGUCUCCAUUAAGUGUGAGAACAAUUAAGAUUUACUAUCUUAGCAAAUUUAAAAUACACCAUACAGUAUUAUUAACUAAAGUUACCAUGCUAUACAUUAGAUCUGCGGAACUUAUUCAUCUUAUAACUGAAAGUUUGUACUUUAGAAAAACAUGUCCCUAUUUACUCCAUUCAACAGCCCUGAGAAAACAUCAUUCUCCCAUUUCUGUGUGUUUCACAUUUUUUUGAUUUCACAUAUGUGACAUCAUACAGCACUUCUUUUUCUUGGUCUGGCUUAUUUUACUUAGCAUUGUGCCCUCCAGAUUCAUCCAUGUUUUUGCAAAAGGCAUGUUAUUCUAUGGUGUGUGUGUGUGUGUGUAAGUGUAUAUAUAUAUAUACUUUAUAUUUUCUUUAUCUAUUCAUCCAUCAAGGGACAAUUAGGGAGUUUCCAGAUAUGGCUAUUUUGAAUUAUGCUUCAAUGAACAUGGGAUAGCAGAUAUCUCUUCAGGAUACUGAUUUCAUUUCCUAUGAAUAUAUACCAGGUAGUGGGAUUACUGGUGGAUAUAUUUUAAAUUUGUCUAGGAAAUUCCAUACUGCGUUCCAUAAUAGCUGUACCAUUUUACAUUUCCACCAGGAAUGUAUGACAAUUUCCUUUUCUCAACAUCCUUACCAACACUUCUUAUUUUUUAAUGUUUUUGAUAAUAGUCAUCCUAAGAGGUGUGAGGUAAUAUCUUAUUGUGCUUUUGAUAUGCAUUACCCUAGUAAUUAUUGAUGUUGAGAAUCUGUUCAUGUGCUUGUUGGACAUUUGUAUGUUUCUUUGGGAUAAUGUCUAUUCAGGUCCUUUGCUAAUUUUCUUUUCUUUUUAUUUUUUGGUGAGGGAGAUUGUCCCUGGGCCAACAUCUGUGCCAAUCUUCCGCUAUUUUUUAUGUGGGACACUGCCAAAGCAUGGCUUGAUGAGUGAUGCAUAGGUCCACACCUGAGACACAAACCUGUAAACACUGGGCUUCUGAAGCAGAGCAUGUGAACUUACCCACUACACCACCGUGCUGGCCCCCCUUUGCUCAUUUUUUGAUUGGGUUGUUUGUUUUUUUCUAUUGAAUUGUAUGAUUUUUAUAUUUGAAUAUUAACUUUUCAUCAGAUAUAUGAUUUGCAAAUAUUUUACCCUAACCCAUAGGUUUCCUUUCCAUUUUUGUCAUUUUUUCCUUUUCUGUGCAAAGAAAAUUAGUUUCAUGCAGUCCCAUUUGUAUAUUUUUGUGUUUGUUGCCUGUGAUGUUGGUGUUAUAUCCAGGAAAACAUCAAGACCAAUGUCAAGGAAAAUUUUCCCUAUUUUAUAAUAGAUUUAUGGUUUCAGGUCUUAUGUGAAGGAGACCUGGCAUGAAAUGUGGUUGUGCUUGCACGCGAGGCAUCCACAAGACUGGCUGGACUUUUCUGCAAACAGAAUGUUCUGCCUGGUGAACUCACAAGGCCCCAGGGAAAACAUUGCUUGCAAACAAGGAUGUUUUAUCAGUUCCUCAAAAGGAACAAGCCUGGGGCCUUGGGAGUUUGAAACAUUAUGAAGGAACCUGUUAUAAACAGAUGUGUAAGGGAAAGGUCAUUAUUGUGGGAUGCUUGCACAGGCUUAGGUGGCUGACUCACUGCUUUGGCAAAAGGCCGGCUUUGUUUAGAGGCUAUAAGAAUAAAGAGCUCGAGGAACUCGAGGAGACUACACAGCAACCAGUGUUCGUGUUUUCAUUUUGUUGGCGGCAUCUGGCACCCAACGUGGGGCCCAACGAAACUGAAAGAGUAAGCACCCUGGAAAAGUGAAAGGGGGACUUUCAGGAAUAGGUAAAUCUCGAUGCAGGGCUCGACGAGACCGAAAGGUUGUUCUACAUCGCUCCCGUCGACUAGUGGGAUUGAUCAUCGCGACUAUCCUUGCGGUUGCAUCCGUUACUGUGAUGGCGGCAUCUGGCACCCAACGUGGGGCCCAACGAAACUGAAAGGUCUUCCGGCGCUGGAGAAAGCAACAACAACUAAAAAGGAUCGUUAAGACCGUUGCGCAUGCUGUCCGUCACAAUGCUAACAAAAGAGGGGGAGAUGAAGGAGACCUGGCAUGAAAUGUGGUUGUGCUUGCACGCGAGGCAUCCACAAGACUGGCUGGACUUUUCUGCAAACAGAAUGUUCUGCCUGGUGAACUCACAAGGCCCCAGGGAAAACAUUGCUUGCAAACAAGGAUGUUUUAUCAGUUCCUCAAAAGGAACAAGCCUGGGGCCUUGGGAGUUUGAAACAUUAUGAAGGAACCUGUUAUAAACAGAUGUUUGGAACUUCCAGCAAUAUUUUAAGUAACAGUGGUGUGAGCAGACAUUAUUACAUUGUUCCUGAUCCUAGGGAGAAAUAAUUCAGACUUAUAUCAUUGAGUUUAUGGUAGGUUUUUUUGAUGUUCUUUAUAAAGUUGAAGAAGGGGUUUCAUCACCACUAAACUGACCUUACCCAAAAUGUUACAGGGAGUUCUUUAAGUGGAAAAGAAAAGGCCAAAACUAGAAACGCAAAAUUUAUGAGAGAAAAAAAAUCUCACUGGGAAAAGCAAGUGAAAAUAGUAGAUAAACCACCUUUACAACUAGUAUGAAGGUUAAAAGACAGGAGUGGUAAAAGAGUGAUGUCAGCAUCAUGGCAGAGUGAGCUCUUUCCUUAAGCUCUCCUCACUAAGAUACAAUGAAAGAGACAUUUAUUAGCCAACAGAGGACAUCCACACAACACAAUAGACCUCUGAGAGAUCCAUG